AACGAACGCUGGCGGCAUGCCUAACACAUGCAAGUCGAACGAGACCUUCGGGUCUAGUGGCGCACGGGUGCGUAACGCGUGGGAACCUGCCCUUAGGUUCGGAAUAACUCCCCGAAAGGGGUGCUAAUACCGGAUAAUGUCUUCGGACCAAAGAUUUAUCGCCUUUGGAUGGGCCCGCGUUGGAUUAGCUAGUUGGUAGGGUAAAAGCCUACCAAGGCGACGAUCCAUAGCUGGUCUGAGAGGAUGAUCAGCCACACUGGGACUGAGACACGGCCCAGACUCCUACGGGAGGCAGCAGUGGGGAAUAUUGGACCAUGGGCGAAAGCCUGAUCCAGCAAUGCGGGGGGAGUGAGGAAGGGCUUAGGGUUGUAAAGCUAGUUGACCAGGGAUGAUAAUGACAGUACCGGGAGAAUAAGCUCCGGCUAACUACGUG
rnacentral:rRNA from 1 species